UACGUAGGGUGCGAGCGUUAAUCGGAAUUACUGGGCGUAAAGCGUGCGCAGGCGGUUUUGUAAGCCAGAUGUGAAAUCCCCGGGCUUAACCUGGGAAUGGCAUUUGGGACUGCAAGGCUGGAGUGUGGCAGAGGAGACUGGAAUUCCCAGUGUAGCAGUGAAAUGCGUAGAUAUCGGGAGGAAUACCGAUGGCGAAGGCAGGUCUCUGGGCUGACACUGACGCUCAUGCACGAAAGCGUGGGGAGCAAACAGG
rnacentral:rRNA from 1 species